ACAGCUAAGUGGAAGUUGAGUUUGGAGUACAUUAAUUUGGCCUUGGACUGUGGUUGACAUUGUUGGGAUUCUAACCUCCAGAGAAAUGGAAUGUUACUAUGUAUCCAUAUUUUCCAGUGGUUCUGCCUAAGAAGCACUGUCGCAGAUCAUAAGACAGAUGAAG